rnacentral:rRNA from 1 species
AUUAGUUGCUACGCAAGGGCACUCUAAUGAGACUGCCGGUGACAAACCGGAGGAAGGUGGGGAUGACGUCAAGUCCUCAUGGCCCUUAUGGGUAGGGCUUCACACGUCAUACAAUGGUCGGUACAGAGGGUUGCCAACCCGCGAGGGGGAGCUAAUCCCACAAAGCCGAUCGUAGUCCGGAUCGCAGUCUGCAACUCGACUGCGUGAAGUCGGAAUCGCUAGUAAUCGUGGAUCAGCAUGUCACGGUGAAUACGUUCCCGGGUCUU